rnacentral:rRNA from 1 species
UACGUAGGGUGCGAGCGUUGUCCGGAAUCACUGGGCGUAAAGGGCGCGUAGGCGGCCUGGUAAGUAGGGGGUGAAAUCCUGCGGCUUAACCGCAGGGCUGCCUUCUAAACUGUCAGGCUUGAGCACGGUAGAGGCAGAUGGAAUUCCCGGUGUAGCGGUGGAAUGCGUAGAGAUCGGGAAGAACAUCAGUGGCGAAGGCGGUCUGCUGGGCCGUAACUGACGCUGAGGAGCGAAAGCGUGGGGAGCGAACAGG